rnacentral:rRNA from 1 species
AUUGAACGCUGGCGGCAGGCCUAACACAUGCCAGUCGAGCGGAUGAAGGGAGCUUGCUCCUGGAUUCAGCGGCGGACGGGUGAGUAAUGCCUAGGAAUCUGCCUGGUAGUGGGGGAUAACGUCCGGAAACGGGCGCUAAUACCGCAUACGUCCUGAGGGAGAAAGUGGGGGAUCUUCGGACCUCACGCUAUCAGAUGAGCCUAGGUCGGAUUAGCUAGUUGGUGGGGUAAAGGCCUACCAAGGCGACGAUCCGUAACUGGUCUGAGAGGAUGAUCAGUCACACUGGAACUGAGACACGGUCCAGACUCCUACGGGAGGCAGCAGUGGGGAAUAUCGGACAAUGGGCGAAAGCCUGAUCCAGCCAUGCCGCGUGUGUGAAGAAGGUCUUCGGAUUGUAAAGCACUUUAAGUUGGGAGGAAGGGCAGUAAGUUAAUACCUUGCUGUUUUGACGUUACCAACAGAAUAAGCACCGGCUAACUUCGUG